GUGCUUGCUUUUGCAGUACAUAUUAAAUUGGAAUGAUACAGAGAUGAUUAUCAUGACCCUUGCACAAGAAUGACAUGCAAAUUUGUGAAACAUUCCAUAUUUUC
rnacentral:snRNA from 1 species